GCCGUACCAGGUGUCCAUUCUGUUCAUUAUAUGUACAUUUCCUUUUCGCUCUAUAAGCGAGAUACGUACCAUGUGUUUCAGACCUGGUUUCGUGUUCAACGUGUUAAAAUUCAAAGCGGUCGAUAGUCAAUAUCAGCUACAAUAAUUAUAUCUCGUGUGCUGAAUACCAAAGAUGUUACGCGACGUUAAAUAAGAAAUGAAUAAGGAAAGGAGGAGAGGAAAGGAACUAAAAGGAGAAUUGCUUGAGAUACUUUAUCCGGAACUUUAUCCAGAACCUUUUACUGUGGGAGGCCUUCCUACGCUGGAUAAAAUAGCAAUAUAAAUUUUAUCACAGAAAAUAAACUUAUAAAAAUCAUUUUCCUUAGAUCACCGUCUGACAUUUUUAAAUCUU